rnacentral:lncRNA from 1 species
CUCCAUGUUGUUUUCCACAGUGGCUGCACCAGUUUACAUUCCCACCAACAGUGCACAAAGGGUUCCCUUUUCUCCCCAUUCUCACCAGCCCUAGUUAUCUCUUGUUUUUGUUAUUUUUUUUAACAGGAGAAAAUCAAACAGAAGUUUAAUAACAUGUAUACAUGCGAGAGACCGAGGAAAACUGAAUAACUCUCUCUUCUAUCUUUGAUGAUAGCCAUCCUAACUGGUGUGAGUCUGUGCACUAAGGCACUGCAGGGCUGUGUGAAGAAGGAAAGUUUGAAAACGUCUGAGAUCUCCGACACUGGGCCUCUGGUUCCACCCGGUGGGGCAGCAGGAGCUGAAGCAGGGGACCCGGCAUUGAAGUCUAUUUACAACCCGGUUACAGUGUAUCCUGUUUUCUCCCUGCUGCGCUGGGCUGAGUAUCUAACAAAAGAUUCUCUGAGUAUCUGAAAACAAGAGGUUCUGGGGGCAGAAUCUAUGAGAAAUUGUCACAGUGUGUCUGUAUUUUGUUUUUGUCAAAGGUGCAUAAUCUUUUCCAGGUUUUUCUGCUCUUCUCCAUUCUUUAAAGAAAUGAGAGAAAAGAGGCCAGUUUCCAAAAAGGGGGAGGUGCUGGCCAAGAGCCCAGGAUCUUCCUUCUGUCUCAGAAGGAAAUGUGAAGGUGGUUUGAGUUUGAAAUAAAGAUGGUGUGAGGGGUGGGGGAAGAAUUUGUGUUCUGGAGUCUGACGUCAUGGUCCUCUGUGGCCCCCACGCCCCCUCAAACAACUGUGCAAUAAGUGGAUGUUGGACAAAGUUACUUUUGAAUGUUUACUCAAAUCUCGUAUUUUGAAAGAAAUCAAUAUGAUGUGAGGGACAAAGCAGGGUCAUCCCGCUUCUGCCACCUCCAUGCACACCUCAUCCCACAGGAAGGGGGAUGAAGGGGACUUCUCGGCCAUCUUCAAGAAUGUGCAAGGUGCGUCCUUCCCAGAGGGAUCAAUCCUAUCUCUUGCACGACGUGUCUUGGAAUGAUCUGGCCUUUUUUUAUUAUGGAAAAUUUUACUGUAUCCCAAAGUAGAGAGAACAGCGUAA